rnacentral:rRNA from 1 species
GACGAACGCUGGCGGCGUGCUUAACACAUGCAAGUCGAACGGAAAGGCCCUGCUUUUGUGGGGUGCUCGAGUGGCGAACGGGUGAGUAACACGUGAGUAACCUGCCCUUGACUUUGGGAUAACUUCAGGAAACUGGGGCUAAUACCGGAUAGGAGCUCCUGCUGCAUGGUGGGGGUUGGAAAGUUUCGGCGGUUGGGGAUGGACUCGCGGCUUAUCAGCUUGUUGGUGGGGUAGUGGCUUACCAAGGCUUUGACGGGUAGCCGGCCUGAGAGGGUGACCGGCCACAUUGGGACUGAGAUACGGCCCAGACUCCUACGGGAGGCAGCAGUGGGGAAUAUUGCACAAUGGGCGGAAGCCUGAUGCAGCAACGCCGCGUGCGGGAUGACGGCCUUCGGGUUGUAAACCGCUUUCGCCUGUGACGAAGCGUGAGUGACGGUAAUGGGUAAAGAAGCACCGGCUAACUACGUGCCAGCAGCCGCGGUGAUACGUAGGGUGCGAGCGUUGUCCGGAUUUAUUGGGCGUAAAGGGCUCGUAGGUGGUUGAUCGCGUCGGAAGUGUAAUCUUGGGGCUUAACCCUGAGCGUGCUUUCGAUACGGGUUGACUUGAGGAAGGUAGGGGAGAAUGGAAUUCCUGGUGGAGCGGUGGAAUGCGCAGAUAUCAGGAGGAACACCAGUGGCGAAGGCGGUUCUCUGGGCCUUUCCUGACGCUGAGGAGCGAAAGCGUGGGGAGCGAACAGGCUUAGAUACCCUAGUAGUCCACGCUGUAAACGGUGGGUACUAGGUGCGGGGUCCAUUCCACGGGUUCCGUGCCGUAGCUAACGCUUUAAGUACCCCGCCUGGGGAGUACGGCCGCAAGGCUAAAACUCAAAGGAAUUGACGGGGCCCCGCACAAGCGGCGGAGCAUGCGGAUUAAUUCGAUGCAACGCGUAGAACCUUACCUGGGUUUGACAUGGAUCGGGAGUGCUCAGAGAUGGGUGUGCCUCUUUUGGGGUCGGUUCACAGGUGGUGCAUGGCUGUCGUCAGCUCGUGUCGUGAGAUGUUGGGUUAAGUCCCGCAACGAGCGCAACCCUUGUUCACUGUUGCCAGCACGUUAUGGUGGGGACUCAGUGGAGACCGCCGGGGUCAACUCGGAGGAAGGUGGGGAUGACGUCAAGUCAUCAUGCCCCUUAUGUCCAGGGCUUCACGCAUGCUACAAUGGCUGGUACAGAGAGUGGCGAGCCUGUGAGGGUGAGCGAAUCUCGGAAAGCCGGUCUCAGUUCGGAUUGGGGUCUGCAACUCGACCUCAUGAAGUCGGAGUCGCUAGUAAUCGCAGAUCAGCAACGCUGCGGUGAAUACGUUCCCGGG